rnacentral:snRNA from 1 species
AUCGCUUCUCGGCCUUUUGGCUAAGAUCAAAGUGUAGUAUCUGUUCUUAUCAGCUUAAUAUCUGAUACGGGUCCUAUUUGGACCCAAGAUAUUAAUCUUAUUUUUGGAAUGCGGCGUAGUGCUUGAGGUUUACCUCACCUAUGCCACGGGUUGGCCCGGUAUUGCACUGCUUCCGGGAUCGGCCCACCCCCC